rnacentral:lncRNA from 1 species
GAGUGCAUACAUUUUAUAAAAGCUAUUUCAAAGUACUGUAGCCAUGUGUAACAUGCAUAUGUCUUAGUGAAUGACUACUCAGCAUGCUGCUUGGUGCUCAAUGGUAAUAGUUUGAUUUGUUUUUGACAUCAAGUAAGAUUUGAUUUUUGUUUCUGAGAUUCCAAUGUUAUUUGUGGCAAAUAUUUUCCAAAAAACCUCCAUCUAAAGCUUCAACUGAAUUCUAAAAUGCCUGCAUUUUCUACCAGAAACAUUAUCAUUGAUACCUCCUACAAUAUUUCAUUUUGUCACCAGGUACCUGGACUGGUGAAAAGUGAAAACUGAAAUUCAUUCAUGUCACCAUUAUCCUACGACCUGCCCCUAAAUGGAAUUGAUCUUGUUUCACAAAUGAGUUGUACAUUGUACAAUGUCUAUCAGCUGAUGUCUAUUGUCUAUCUCUCUUUCAGCACAGAAGAUCCUCAGUCAUAGUUAACAAAAUGGAAAAAAUUAGCUGUGUUUUUAAGAUUCCAGUGGUGGCCAUCAACUGCUCAGGAAAGCAGCCCAGAAUCACUUCACAACAGGUUUCCAAAGGAUCAUCAUUCAUCAGCACAGAAGGAUGGGAAAGAGAAGGCUGUUCAAAUUCUGAAAAGCCAGAGCUGCAAAGGAGGUCAAAGAUGCAGUGCAGUUGGCCCACUCAGUAGAGUUUCACUAGUGGUUCUGAUGUGGACUGAAGAUUACACGCUGGAUUGAAGUGGCCGGUCUGGAGCAGCUGUAGUUCAUCAUUCUUGCUGAUUGUGGACGAGUAAGAGCCCGCGUUGGCCCCGAUCGGCGAUCGCUGGCCAAAGCCCACCACCAGUUUGGUGAUAGGCGUUGGCUGUGAUAUCUAGUGUCGCCUAUGUGUGAAAAGGACAAGUUGAUAACAAAACCUGUUGCGCCAUGUUAUUAACCCGCGCCCGGGUGGCCCUCAGCCAACUUGGUGGGGGGGGGGGGAGGUGUAUUCGGCCACACCAGGUUAUCUUGGAAUGUAGCAAAGCUGGAAAGACGCAGUAAAAUCAAUCUAUAGAUCGCUAUUUUUCUUCAGAAUCAUACAGAUCAUUUUUGAUCAGGUCAUCGCUGAGGUCACUGGAGGUCACCAAAAGUAAAAUGAUGACGAAUUUUGGCCCCCGAUUUUGACAACUUCACAAUUGGUUCAUAAUUCGGGAACCAAAGAAGCUACAGCGCCGCGGAAAAGCGAAUUCGAUAGCUCUUUCGAAAAUCUUUCAGGUUCUCAGAUUUGAGCUAAGGUCAACUAGGGUUAAGCCUCCAAAGGGCAAAAACUGAACAAUCGGCUUGCUUCGGAAGUCGUCUUUUCUUUAAAAAUUCUUUAAACUGAUACCAACCUUUUAUUACGUUGAUUUUACCGGCACUGCGUUUCUCUCGUCUUCUUGGCCUAACAAGGUCAGCUUAAUAAAUUUGACCUCAGGUCAAUGUCGCAGAAAAUGUCAUUUUGCAUGUCAUUGAUUCGUUACAUUGAAAUUGAGAUUAACAUCAGUAGCGGCGGAACACCUUCAAUUAAGGGGACAUUGCCGACUUUUGGUCUCAUUCUUUCCAUGCAACGCCCAUAGGGCUAAUGUUAAAAUGCCAAAAUCAAAGGGCACGGUGCCCCGGUGCCCUCGGCCUGUUCCGCCGACUAUGAUUAUGAUGCUUUUAGCGCUCUGGCCACGUUCCAUCUAAAAUCGAUGUACAAAAAUAAACUGUUGGGAGGCGUUACAUGACCUGAGAUGACCUCAGGAGCAUACGAUAGAUCCCGAUGUUUGAGUGCUUUUGUUUCAAAAGCAGAACAUUUCGAGUUCCUCAUACUGACUGAAACUGGAGACGUCGCAAAGUUGACCUGACCCUAGGUCACCAUCGAUAUCAAAAUUAAAGAUAUUCAAGAUGUUGGUACUGAUUCUCUCAUGCAAUAGCUCGAGUUUCAAACUUCUACUUCAUGGUGACCUGACCUGACCUUAGCGGUGACAUGGGGUUACUUUUUUUCACAAUUGAUGCGAAUCGAUGCAUUAUACAUAAGCUAUACUAAGUUUCGUGUCGUUUUAUCUAUGCAAGCACAAAAUUGUCAGGUGUGGCCAAAAACGCCCCCACGGCCCACCCACCUGGGGAACGUUAAAGCAGUGAUGUAUUUUUUUCGGUGUAUUCCACGAUGCAUCGAUCGGUGUACUUGAUAAUGCAUUAUUUAUUGCUGCGUGUGUACGCUUUUCCUCUGUUCAGUGUGAUCUGUGAUAGGAAAACUACCGAUAUAUCUCCACGCGCAUGACUGAAAGAGCUGGCGUGAUCUAUAAUAUUGGGUGUCUGUUUUUGUUUGGCAUUUUAUAAAUAAUGAGUCAGC